rnacentral:tmRNA from 1 species
GGGGACGACAUGGCUUCGACGCUGGUAACGAAACCAAAGGUGCAUGCCGAGAGCGUAACGAAUCUCGUAAAUUAAUCGUUACAAACAAUAGUCGCAAACGACGAAUCGUACGCUCUAGCAGCCUAACGGCUGCCAGCAUCCGACCCAAGGUGCUUGUACCACGGAAUCGGAUGUCAUUUAGAACAAGCUAGUUGGUUGAUUGGUUCCGAAUCAGCUUGCGAAACUUAAGGAACUCGCUGCUUGCACCCUGACCUUCGGGUCGCUUGUGGUCAAAUCAAUUGAAGGACACUAAGCAUGUAGAGCCGAUGGCAGAGGAUUGGCGGACGCGGGUUCAAUUCCCGCCGUCUCCACCA